rnacentral:rRNA from 1 species
UACGGAGGGUGCAAGCGUUGCUCGGAAUUAUUGGGCGUGAAGGGCAGGUAGGUGGUCUCAUUUGUCGGGGGUGAAAGCCUUGGGCUUAACUCAAGAAGUGCCCCCGAAACGGUGAGACUAGAGUACUGGAGAGGGUCGUGGAAUUCCCGGUGUAGCGGUGAAAUGCGUAGAUAUCGGGAAGAACACCCGUGGCGAAGGCGGUUCUCUGGGACGGUACUGACGCUGAGACGCGAAAGCGUGGGGAGCGAACAGG